rnacentral:rRNA from 2 species
ACCUGCCCUUAACUCUGGGAUAAGCCUUGGAAACGGGGUCUAAUACUGGAUAUUGACUUUACCUCGCAUGGGGUUUGGUUGAAAGAUUUAUUGGUUUUGGAUGGACUCGCGGCCUAUCAGCUUGUUGGUGAGGUAAUGGCUCACCAAGGCGACGACGGGUAGCCGGCCUGAGAGGGUGACCGGCCACACUGGGACUGAGACACGGCCCAGACUCCUACGGGAGGCAGCAGUGGGGAAUAUUGCACAAUGGGCGAAAGCCUGAUGCAGCGACGCCGCGUGAGGGAUGACGGCCUUCGGGUUGUAAACCUCUUUCAGUAGGGAACAAGGCCAGCAUUUUUGUUGGUUGAGGGUACUUGCAGAAGAAGCGCCGGCUAACUACGUGCCAGCAGCCGCGGUAAUACGUAGGGCGCAAGCGUUAUCCGGAAUUAUUGGGCGUAAAGAGCUCGUAGGCGGUUUGUCGCGUCUGCCGUGAAAGUCCGGGGCUCAACUCCGGAUCUGCGGUGGGUACGGGCAGACUACAGUGAUGUACGGGACACUGGAAUUCCUGGUGUAGCGGUGAAAUGCGCAGAUAUGUCAAACAGGAACGACGCUGAUGGCGAAGGCAGGUCUCUGGGCAUUAACUGACGCUGAGGAGCGAAAGCAUGGGGAGCGAACAGGAUUAGAUACCCUGGUAGUCCAUGCCGUAAACGUUGGGCACUAGGUGUGGGGGACAUUCCACGUUUUCCGCGCCGUAGCUAACGCAUUAAGUGCCCCGCCUGGGGAGUACGGCCGCAAGGCUAAAACUCAAAGGAAUUGACGGGGGCCCGCACAAGCGGCGGAGCAUGCGGAUUAAUUCGAUGCAACGCGAAGAACCUUACCAAGGCUUGACAUGAACUGGAAAUACCUGGAAACAGGUGCCCCGCUUGCGGUCGGUUUACAGGUGGUGCAUGGUUGUCGUCAGCUCGUGUCGUGAGAUGUUGGGUUAAGUCCCGCAACGAGCGCAACCCUCGUUCUAUGUUGCCAGCACGUUAUGGUGGGGACUCAUAGGAGACUGCCGGGGUCAACUCGGAGGAAGGUGAGGACGACGUCAAAUCAUCAUGCCCCUUAUGUCUUGGGCUUCACGCAUGCUACAAUGGCCGGUACAAUGGGUUGCGAUACUGUGAGGUGGAGCUAAUCCCAAAAAGCCGGUCUCAGUUCGGAUUGGGGUCUGCAACUCGACCCCAUGAAGUCGGAGUCGCUAGUAAUCGCAGAUCAGCAACGCUGCGGUGAAUACGUUCCCGGGCCUUGUACACAC